rnacentral:rRNA from 1 species
CCCUACAGCUGUGAGUUCAGAGCAGUAACCACAGAGACUGCAUGAAGAUUAGGUUUCACACUGAAGAGCAGCGUUCUGGAUGGGAGACCGCCUGUGAGUACUGGGUGCUGUAGGCU